rnacentral:lncRNA from 1 species
UUUCACUGUUUUUAAGUGUUUUUAGUGUGUUUUGAAGUGUUUUAAUGUGUUUUGAAAGAAAAACACGAAAAUUUGAAAAAAAAUAGAAAAUGUUUUGAAAAACCCAAAAAUAGUCGUUUUUGUGUUUGUUUGUGCCUUAGGGUACCUUCCAACACAAUGAUGAGGAUUUGGUUUUUAAUUGCAUGACUAUUAAAGAAAGCUACAAACAUGGGUGGAAGUCUGAUAUGCUCUUUGGUUAAUGCUUGGUUGUAGUUGACGUUUACGAAUUCACAUGUAAUCACAAAAGAAGAAAAAAAAAUCAGUUUUUGUAAUAUGCUUGAAGGAAGGAACUCAAACUAACGCUACAACCCUGAGAGACUUGAGCUUAUUCCUUGUUUGGAGAGUUAUUAAUCUGUGAAUUCUUGUUUUCUAAAGUCGUUGCAUGAUCUCAUUAUUUCUUUGCUUGGUUGCUACUUAGAAUGCGUUUUUCAUCAUUUAAGUUCCAAAUACUAGAACGCAUGCCCGUUUCAUUCAAAGCUUAAAAUUGAGUGCAUAACAUAUAACAAGAUGAAAUUGUUUAGUUACCACCAUAGCCAAAAAGCCUUAAUCCCUUGCAUAUGUAUUGUAGGUUUAACCCCAUGAGCCUUAUUUAGCCUAUUUUCUUUGUUAGCCACAUUAUCCUUACCUAGCCUAGAAUAGGACUAUCCGUACCUUUGUUCUUGAAGCAUAGUGAAGCAUGACUUAGAGGGAAUUCUUUUUUAUCAACAUUUUGUAGAAAACAAGUGUGGGGGAAUGUUAUUUCCAAAGAAAGGAAAGGAAGAAAAAAAGAAAAAAAAACGUGAAAAAGGAAGAAAGAAAAAAAGAAGAAGAAAAAGAGUUCAAAAUAAGUGAGAAUGAGAUCACAAGUAUUGGUUGUUGAAGAAAGGGUCCAAAAGUUUGAAUUCGGCCCUAAGUGUUAUGUGAAUCUCCCAUGGGUGUUUAAAGUUAGUGAUGCAUUCAAAAGUGAAUUCUAAGUGUUGAUUUCAUUAUUUUUGCUUACCACUGCUUUAGAACCUUUGUUUAUCCUUAACCUUUCUUUGUUAGCCAAUACCCUUAGCCCCAUUACAACCCUUAAACUUCUCUCUUGGUUGUUGUGUGUUUCAAUUUGUGGAGUUUGAAAUUGGUACGAGCAUAUGGAAUCCCUGGUUCUCGCUUCUAAGUAGUGGCAUUCCGUUCAUGAGAUCAUGUAUAUGUUAUAUUAAUAAUUCCAGAAAGUGCCUUCUUUGGUUAUAAUAUAUGUGAGUUCUAGUCUACAUGUUUACAUCAAUCUUCUCACAUAUACCUAGUAUAGGGAGUGUAGUUAGAAAAUCUGUGUGAAAAUAGAGAGUAUAUCCUGUGAGGAAUUGAGGGAAUUCUCUAAGGCAUGUUACUACAAUCAAAACAUUGUUUUAAUUGAUUAAAUGCGAGCUAGUGAGUGGUGACUGCGAUUAAGUAUGUGCUCAAGGGUAAGGAUAGCUAAAACAUAUGGGAGUAGUGAUUUUUAACAUGUCAUAUUUCAUUGGAAAUCCCUGAGGCAAACGUUGGAAGGUCUAGGUUAUGUUAUGUUUUGUUUGUUUUGUUUGUUUCAUUUUGCUCGAGGACUGGCAAAAGCUAAGUGUGGGGAAAUUUGAUAGGAGCAUAUUUAUGCG